GAUGAACGCUAGCUACAGGCUUAACACAUGCAAGACGAGGGGUAACGAGAGGAAAGCUUGCUUUCCUUGUCGACGACCGGCGCACGGGUGAGUAACGCGUAUCCAACCUGCCCCCAACUAGGGAAUAACCUUGCGAAAGUAAGACUAAUACCCUAUACUUUCCUCAGAUGUCAUCUGACGAGGAAUAAAGAUUUAUCGUUUGUGGAUGGGGAUGCGUCUGAUUAGCUGGUUGGCGGGGUAACGGCCGGCCAAGGCAACGAGCAGUCGGGGUUCUGAGAGGAAGGUCCCCCACAUUGGAACUGAGACACGGUCCAAACUCCUACGGGAGGAAGCAGUGAGGAAUAUUGGUCAAUGGGCGGAAGCCUGAACCAGCCAAGUAGCGUGCAGGAUGACGGCCCUAUGGGUUGUAAACUGCUUUUAUACGGGAAUAAAGUUAGCCACGUGUGGUUAUUUGUAGGUACUGUAUGAAUAAGGACCGGCUAAUUCCGUGCCAGCCGCCGCGGUAA
rnacentral:rRNA from 1 species